rnacentral:rRNA from 1 species
AUGGGGAACUUUUUGUCAUGGGAGGCGGACCCGGAGGCAGCCCUAGACGAAAACAUGCACCUCGUUGACAGCAAGAUGGUUAUCCAUCACGUGGGCAACGGCGGGUGCCUCACAGAGUUCAUGACCGCCAUAGACAAGUGCAACCCAGAUUACAUGAAGCAGCGGUGCCCCGAGUUGUUCACGAAGCAGCAACUCACCCCCACCCCCGUCGACAGGGAUGCGUGCAUCAAGGCCACAGCGGCGCUGCGCGAGUGCUUCGCCGGCAACCCCGUGAUGUUCAAGCACAAGUACCUCCGCCGUAUGGACGAGGGCCUCGACCAGGAUCUCAACCCCUCCCCGGCCGAAAUCAGGAAGGAGUGGGCCUACAAAUAUAGGUGGUGGACUGGCAUGAGGAGAAGCUAG